rnacentral:ncRNA from 1 species
UCCGGGUUAGGGUGAGCGGGCACGCGUCGUCCGGCGAGGGAACCCGGUGGGAAUCCGGGACUGGCGCGCAACGGUGACGGACCCCGGGUGGGGUCCGAAGUCCGAUCGCUCGCCGGCCGACACCACC